rnacentral:rRNA from 1 species
AAUUUCUAGUGUAGAAGGUGAAAUUCGUAGAUAUUAGAAAGAAUACCAAUUGCGAAGGCAGCUUUCUGGAUCAUUACUGACGCUGAGGAACGAAAGCAUGGGUAGCGAAGAGGAUUAGAUACCCUCGUAGUCCAUGCCGUAAACGAUGUGUGUUAGACGUUGGAAAUUUAUUUUCAGUGUCGCAGCGAAAGCAUUAAACACACCGCCUGGGGAGUACGACCGCAAGGUUAAAACUCAAAUGAAUUGACGGGGACCCGCACAAGUAGUGGAGCAUGUGGUUUAAUUCGAAGAUACGCGCAGAACCUUACCAACACUUGACAUGUUCGUCGCGACUUUAAGAGAUUAAAGUUUUCGGUUCGGCCGGACGAAACACAGGUGCUGCAUGGCUGUCGUCAGCUCGUGUCGUGAGAUGUUGGGUUAAGUCCCGCAACGAGCGCAACCCUCACUUUUAGUUGCCAUCAUUAAGUUGGGCACUCUGAAAGAACUGCCAGUGAUAAGCUGGAGGAAGGUGGGGAUGACGUCAAGUCCUCAUGGCCCUUACGUGUUGGGCUACACACGUGCUACAAUGGCAUUUACAAUAGGAAGCAAGAUGGCGACGUCAAGCAAAUCCUAAAAAGAUGCCUCAGUUCGGAUUGUACUCUGCAACUCGAGUACAUGAAGCUGGAAUUACUAGUAAUCGCGGAUCAGCGCGCCGCGGUGAAUACGUUCCCGGGUCUUGUACACACCGCCCGUCACACCAUGGGAGUUGGUUCUACCUUAAGGCAAGGUUUUAAACCCUUGACUACGGUAUAGUCAGCGACUGGGGGUGAAGUCGUAACAAGGUAGCCGUAGGGGAACCUGCGGCUG